UCAUAUUCCAAAGUAAAAAUGACUACAAAGCUCUCCAAGAAAAAUUUUACAUUUAAUUAGCGUUGUUAGAUUAUAAAAACUACAAUUUGAAGUGUUAAAGAAAAAAGAAAAUAUACGGCUUUGCCAAAAAAAAAAAUAUAUAUGCAAAAUGGAAUAAGUUAAGGUUGGAUGUCGGCUGGAUUUCUGCUGACAAUAGCUUCGUCCACAGAACCAGUUGAUUCUGACCCCAUUUCAGCAUUUAUACUUCAUUUCGUAAAAAUAUUGUGCAGAAUACAUCUUGCAUAAUAUAUGUGCGCUGGAUUUUAAUGGUUACGAUCUAUGUCUCCCCUUGAAUAAGCCCAGGAAACUUGAUUUGAAGACGCCGAAAUAGGAGCGAGUUAUUCUUAGUCCUCAAAUGUUUCAGCAAUCUAAUGAAGUUGAUCAACAAAUAAACUAAUAAAGGAAAAAUUUUUUAUGGUCGUACCUUUGCUUAUUUCCCACCAAAUCAUAUAAAAACAUUGUAAUUUUUUUUUCUUUCAUUUUUUAUACACGUUUCUUCUAUAUUUUCUUUAAAUUUUUAAAAAUGGUGUCUCUGCGUUGCACUACACUCUGUUAUAAUAAUAGAAACGCACUGUAAUCUGCUGAAAAGUAAAUCACAAACCAGGUCAUGCUUUUGUAAUCUCCACACUCAGCUUAAACGCCAAAUACAAGAUAAGAUAAGAUCAGCUGUUAAACUGUUUUGGCAGAAAUGUGUGAUAUCUUAUGCUUCGCUUGCUGCUCGAAUGUCAAUUUUGUCGUCCAUAUAUGUAUAACUAAAUGUAUGAAAUUUUAUAUUUCAAUACGUGCAAUAUUUAUACAAAAGCUUACUAGAAGUGAUAUUAUAAAACGCAAUGGAAGAAAGGGAUCUUUGGUAUUGACAGCUUUUGGUAAUAGAAUAAAAACAAAAAUUCGAAAAAAUCCCAAAAAAGGUACUAUUCCCUACACUGAAAUUGUCCAUAAUUUAUGAUUAAUAAACAAAAAAAAAAAUUAUAACCAUCUGAGCAUCAAAUAGCAUGAUCUGAGGUGAUUUAAUAAAACAAUAACGUCAGAAUAGUAGUAGUAAUGAUUAGUAGCUACUUUAGUUCGAUUAUUAAGACCUUCUCGUGUAAAUGAAUUUCACGCCACUGAAAAUGUGAAACUGACUACGAAUGACAUCAAAAGAAUAAAAGACUUAUUAAAUUAGUUUAGUGCAAUGAAUAAACACCAGACAACAAGGUCGAUAGACGUACACAUAAGCUUAGGAGCAUUAAAAAAAUGAUUCCAAAUCGGUCGAUGUAAUAAAAACUAGACCUAUAUAGUGCCAUAGCUACGCUCUGAAAAAGACUUUGUAGAAUCGAAAGGCAGUUUACGUCACAAUUUAAUAUUUUGUUUACUAGCUUGUAUCUAAAGGAAUACCAAAUUUUGUAGCGUGGAUUUUAUUUUGUCAAAAAUAUUGAAAGUGCUUAGAGAAGUGGUUUACCUGAAUGCUCGCGUUGCUUCUUUUACUUACUUAGGUGCUGUUCUGCUUUCGCAAUUAGGUACAUCUUAAAUAUUCGUCACGUUUAGAAUGGGAUAAAGCCCUCAACUAUAAUGAAAAAAUGCUGGCCAAUAACAAAAUGAUUGUGGUAACACAAUGCAAAGACAAAAAUUUAUUUGAUAAACACAAUUUUUCCGAUAAUGCUAUGAGUUACAAUAAAUGCUUGCUUACCCAAACAAAAAGGAAUAUUUAUUUUAUAGUUUUCUU